CUUGCGGUAGUACAAUUGUCAAACCCUAAUCCACUGGCAGUUCGCAGGCAUGGGAAAGAAACGAAAGGUUGAGGGUACACCUUCCCCCGCCGGCUCCGGCGCAUCUGAAGAAAACGUCUCUGUCCACGAGGAAUCAUCAUUCAACCAAGAAUCCGCUACUCCCUUUCCAAUUGAACCUUCAACCGAAGGAUCGUGGGCGCCGGAGAUCGCAGAACCUAUCAACGAAGUGUCACUUAUCGAGGAAGAUCCCAAGCCUCAAGCCGUAGAAACCGAAGAUCCCAUCCUGAAUACUUCCGGCGUCGGCGAGGUCUCUUACGCUGACGGCGAAGAAGACGUUGAGGAUAAUGACCCGGCGUUCUUGCAGAAGCUACUUGAACCUUUCAGCAAGGAUCAGGUGGUUGAUAUCCUCCGCGAUGCCGCCUUGAAGCAUCCGGAUAUUUGGGCUUCAAUCAGACAGAUAGCAGACGCUGACCCCGCUCACCGAAAGGUCUUUGUUCACGGCCUCGGUUGGAACGCCACCGCAGAAACCCUCGUCGACGCUUUUCGCCAGUUUGGAGAGAUCGAGGAUUGCAAAGCUAUCGUCGACAAAAUCACCGGCAGGUCCAAGGGUUAUGGCUUCAUCCUCUUCAAGCAUCGGAGUGGCGCUCGCCGAGCAUUAAAGGAGCCUCAAAAGAAAAUCGGUAAUAAGAUGACUGCCUGUCAGCUCGCAUCGGAGGGCCCUCCCCCUGCUUCUCUUCAAGCCACCGCUUUUGUUUAUAACCCGCCUAGUUUCGUUCCAUCAUCUGAGUACACUCAGCGGAAGAUCUAUGUCAGCAAUGUGGGAGCUGAUCUUGACCCGAACAAGGUUCUGCAGUUCUUUUCAAAGUUUGGGGAGAUAGAGGAAGGGCCAUUAGGUCUGGAUAAAGCUACCGGGAAACCUAGGGGAUUUUGCCUCUUUGUUUAUAAGAACGCUGAGAGUGCAAAGAAUGCAUUGGAGGAACCACAUAAGAACUUCGAAGGUAAUAUAUUGCACUGUCAGAGGGCGAUUGAUGGCCCUAAGCUUAACAAGCAAGGGGCUUAUCUUCUACAAGGCGCUGGGCAAUAUGCAGGCAUGCAACAAGGAAAGAGUGGAUUUGGAGCUCAUGGGGCUCAAAUAGGAAGGAUUGAGACAUCAGUAUCAAUGGGCGGCAUGCCUUCUUCGGUUACUGGCCCAGGACACCUUAUAGCUCCCCCUGCUGUCAGCAUACGUUUCAACCAGGCAGGCCAAGCUAAUGCCACUGCUGCAACGGGAUAUAAUCCUGGAUUAGGGCUUGCAGUAAAUCCAGCGUUUGGGAAUCAAAUAAGAGGAGCUGGAGGUUAUGUGAAACCAGGUGUGGUUGGUGGCUAUGGAGCAUCAUUGCGGAUCCAUGGAAGCUAUGGCAAUUCAGCAAUGGGACAAGGGGGUGCAUGGAACCCACAAGGCUUUAGUAAUACGGGAGGUUUAGGUUCUUCUACGGGUCAGUAGUAGGCCACUGAAAUACGGGAUUUUGAACAUUGUAUCAAGUAUGACGAAUGAAUCUGACGGCUUGCCUUUGUUUGAGGUAAAGUAGGGAAAGAUCCUUUUCGUCUGUAAUCAGUUUAAUUCUGAGAAGAUGAUUCUGGAGUUCCUGUUCGUGGAAAAUGCCCACUUUAUUGCUUCUUUUCAAACUGCUGCUACUAUGAAUCUUGAGUUUUCAACUAUGUUGACUAAAAACUAUUUUAAAACUAUGAUCUUUCAAAACGAUGUAAAAUUUAUGUUUUUUUUUACCUAGGAGUUUUGGUCACAUCAGGUUGAUUCCAACAUCAAUAUUUUAAAAGAACUUCAUGUAUUCAAAACCAUUUUGUUUACUGUUCUUCAAACUUAUGCAUAUUUAUCUACCAUCGUACUCUUGAUGUUUUCUGUUAA